UUCUCACAGGAGGGAAUUUAGUCACAGGUUGGAGACCCCAUUUCUGCUUUCUUUUCACUUGUUAAAUGUCAUCCCUACAGACCCCUGGCACCUUUGUUUGGACAGGAGAUCUGAAAGGAAUUACAUGUAAAACUCACAGCCAUUUAGGUGGUCACUGAUCAGCAUUUCGGAGAGGCCCAGAAAGCUCAGUAGGAUACUCAUUGAUGGGAAGGAAAUGUUACCAAGGAAUGCAGAGAAGAGGCGUCAAACACAAAAUAACAGAAGUGUGGUCAGGUCAUUCAUCCCAGAAUCCCUGCACUUGGAGGGUCCCAUGUUGGCUUAGCUUGGAUUGAAGGUGUGUUGUCUUCACAAUGCACCAAGUCCUGGUGUAUUUAAAGGCCUGUGUGAGAUUGUUUCUGUUCCUGGUUAAAGACGAAGAAAGAAUUGGAGCUUAUGAAAUCGCAGAGUUUCUUUCUGUCCAGUUGGCUGAAAUAAUUUUCACUACAUUUAUGGUGGUCAAGUCUAAAUAAGUGUAAUUCAUCAGAGCAGGGAAAAUAGAGUCCACAAUCA